rnacentral:tRNA from 1 species
GCCUCCUUAGUUCAAUGGAUUAGAACAUUGCUCUUCUAAGGCAAGUGUUAGGGGUUCGAGUCCCUUAGGGGGUA